AGGAGAACUACGAGGAGCCAACCCUAGUACGAGAGGACUGGGUUGGGCUAACCUAUGGUGUACCGGUUGUUAUGCCAAUAGCAGCGCCGAGCAGCUAAGUUAGUAUGGAAAAACUGCUGCGCCGUGGGAAAUCCUUCUCUAUACAAGUUCUCAGACGAGGUUUUUGAAUAGAACUUCUAUAGGCGAGAGGUGUAAGCACCGCGAGGUGUGAAACGAUCUCGUAAAAAUUUG
rfam:Nicotiana sylvestris Nsyl_contig41205, whole genome shotgun sequence.